rnacentral:rRNA from 1 species
UACGGAGGGUGCGAGCGUUGUUCGGAAUUACUGGGCGUAAAGCGCGUGUAGGCGGCCUCUUCAGUCUGGUGUGAAAGCCCGGGGCUCAACCCCGGAAGUGCAUUGGAUACUGGGAGGCUGGAGUACCGGAGAGGAGGGUGGAAUUCCUGGUGUAGCGGUGAAAUGCGUAGAUAUCAGGAGGAACACCUGUGGCGAAGGCGGCCCUCUGGACGGAUACUGGCGCUGAGACGCGAAAGCGUGGGGAGCAAACAGG